AAACAGACAUGUCAGAUUAGAACUAAAUCAGACGACAGCACGUGUGCUAACAAACUCGGCCGAAAACCGCCAGUCAAGAGAAUUUGCGAACCAUUUCCUCGAUGUAGAUACAAAGUUUCUGAAUGGAGCGCCUGCUCGGUCUCGUUCGAUGCCGGUGUCAGAACGCGUAAUCAUACCUGCGUCAAACUAGAAGAAAACGCUAUGGAAAAGGAAAUUAGUUUGGACCACUGUGUUCGCAGCGUACUGUUGUCUCGGCCGUGGUUAAAUGAGAAUUGCUAUCUUAGAAAUUGUCCGUGCGAACUGCCACACUGGAUACCGUCAAAGUAGAGAAGUUGCCCUCGUAGUUGGGGAGUUGGUGCAGUACAAAUACGAGAUGUCGUGUGUUCGUGCACUCUACAAGGUCGGCAGCGAAUUGUUCCAGAAAGCGUUUGCCUAACAGUUGCCAACAAACCAGUUCCUAGACGGGCUUGUGGUCAGACACAGUGUCCUUGCAAAAGAUAUCCCCGGCAGAAGGAAGACUGGAAAGGUUGUUCGGUAUCUUGCAGAACGGGAAUAGAAUAACGAAAAGUCACAUGCGAGUGUACACGAGCGGGAAGUAUAGAGAUAAGCCCAGAUCCGCAAAGGUGCUAUCUUUAUCCACAACCGUGGAGUCAAAGAGAAUGCUACAAGCCGCCGAGUCCUUGCAGCAAGCCACAAUGGGACACCGGUAACUGGUCCGAAUGUUCUGCGACCUGCAAAGGAACAAGCACGAGACGGGUAACGUGCAACUGCGGUGUAGAGAGAGUAGACAUUGGCGUUUGUGUAAGACAAGUGACAGACCAACGGCAGCCAUCGCGACAGCAGACGUGCAGCGGACAGUGUUUGUGCGAAAACUACAGAUACCGAGAAAAAGAUUGGUUGCCGUGCUCCCAUACGUGUGGUAAUGGAACUCAAUCGCGAACUCUGUCGUGCCAUUGCUACCUAGAGGGUCGACAAAUGGUCAGACCAUUGAGAGAGUGCGAAGCAACGAUAACACAGACUGCACCAAUAGUAAUGCGUUCCUGUGACUGGCAAGAAUGUCCGUGCGACUUAGCACGAUACAUAACGGGUCCUUGGUCAUCCUGUCCCCAAAUCUGCGGCGGAAACCAAUACAGAAACGUUGCAUGUACCUGUUUUAUAGAAGGCGCAUGGGCGAACAGAUCAGACGACGAAUGCUACUUUACAGGAAUGAUAAGACAACAAACAUCAAAGAAUGCACCCGUGUCAGUACCGUUGGUCAACAACACCUUGGAAAGAGUGUUUAGCAACCUGUAGUCGUCGUUGCACCGCAUACUAAACAGACCAAUAUGGGAACAAAGCCAAGAACUCUCGCUGCAAUAAAUUUACUUGAUAUGAGAAACCUGCCACUUCAGAGAGAUGUCUUUACAACGGGACAAAGGAAAAGGUGGUGUGGACCGUUUCGGGUUGGUCUAGGUGUUCUAAGGCAUGCCAAGGCGGCACGAAACGGCGUGCAGUCACUUGCAUAAACCCAUGCAAACGGAUAAAAGCAAUGGGCUGUAAUACAAGAACGAGACCGCGACAUCUCAAAGUAUGCAACACUUUCCUAUGU